AACGGCCAUACCAUGCUGAAUAUAUCAGUUCUCGUUAGAUCACCAAAGUCAAACGUCAUUGGGCGCGGUCAGUACUUGGGUGGGAACAC